rnacentral:rRNA from 1 species
AUUGAACGCUGGCGGCAUGCCUUACACAUGCAAGUCGAACGGUAACAGGUUAAGCUGACGAGUGGCGAACGGGUGAGUAAUGUAUCGGAACGUGCCCAGUCGUGGGGGAUAACUACUCGAAAGAGUGGCUAAUACCGCAUGAGAUCUACGGAUGAAAGCAGGGGAUCGCAAGACCUUGUGCUACUAGAGCGGCCGAUGGCAGAUUAGGUAGGUGGUGGGAUAAAAGCUUACCAAGCCGACGAUCUGUAGCUGGUCUGAGAGGACGAUCAGCCACACUGGGACUGAGACACGGCCCAGACUCCUACGGGAGUCAGCAGUGGGGAAUUUUGGACAAUGGGCGAAAGCCUGAUCCAGCAAUGCCGCGUGCAGGAUGAAGGCCUUCGGGUUGUAAACUGCUUUUGUACGGAACGAAAAGCCCUGGGUUAAUACCCUGGGGUCAUGACGGUACCGUAAGAAUAAGCACCGGCUAACUACGUGCCAGCCGCCGCCGUAAGAC